GACGGAGGAUGCAAGUGUUAUCCGGAAUCACUGGGCGUAAAGCGUCUGUAGGUGGUCAAAUAAGUCAACUGUUAAAUCUUGAGGCUCAACCUCAAAAUCGCAGUCGAAACUAUUCGACUAGAGUAUAGUAGGGGUAAAGGGAAUUUCCAGUGGAGCGGUGAAAUGCGUAGAGAUUAGAAAGAACACCGAUGGCGAAGGCACUUUACUGGGCUAUUACUAACACUGAGAGACGAAAGCUAGGGUAGCAAAUGGG
rnacentral:rRNA from 1 species